rnacentral:rRNA from 1 species
GAUGAACGCUGGCGGCGUGCCUAACACAUGCAAGUCGAGCGAUCUCUUCGGAGAGAGCGGCGGACGGGUGAGUAACGCGUGGGUAACCUGCCCUGUACACACGGAUAACAUACCGAAAGGUAUGCUAAUACGGGAUAACAUAUAAAAGUCGCAUGGCUUUUAUAUCAAAGCUUUUGCGGUACAGGAUGGACCCGCGUCUGAUUAGCUAGUUGGUAAGGUAAUGGCUUACCAAGGCAACGAUCAGUAGCCGACCUGAGAGGGUGAUCGGCCACACUGGAACUGAGACACGGUCCAGACUCCUACGGGAGGCAGCAGUGGGGAAUAUUGCACAAUGGGCGAAAGCCUGAUGCAGCAACGCCGCGUGAGCGAUGAAGGCCUUCGGGUCGUAAAGCUCUGUCCUCAAGGAAGAUAAUGACGGUACUUGAGGAGGAAGCCCCGGCUAACUACGUGCCAGCCGCCGCAGUAAGAC